rnacentral:misc_RNA from 1 species
AUUGCAGGUGUUCUAGCUUCCCAAGUUCACGUACUAGAUGUCCAGAUAAGUUUGAGUUCCCUAAAUCCACUCGAGUAACACGAUUAUCCUGGUUGCAGGUGAUGUGAAACCAAGUACAGGGGUUGACAAGGGUCGGAUCCCAGCUCUGGAGGACAUUAUCCGGAUCCGACAAGCUCUUCCUGAGGGUGUAAAGAGCGUCUCCUUCGUAGUUACCAUUCGCUACGGAAACUAGGGUUACAGUAAGUGUCACGGUCAGAGAAGCUGAGAGAGUCCACGGCCAGGACGCUGCCGCCAUGGUUGACGACUGAAUUGAGGGAGUCAGUGGGGUGCGGUGCCUUCUAGGGUUGGGUCCGUUGGUGUUCUUGUAAAAGAAAGAGUUUAGGUUUCGCAGAAAGAGAGAGAGAGAGAGAGAGAGA